AAGUUUAGGUUAAACAUUUAAACCAGGGACCUUCAAAGCCCCAAACAAGAUCACCAAGACCUCUUAACUUCU
rnacentral:tRNA from 1 species